rnacentral:rRNA from 1 species
UCAAGUUAUUAAGGGUGCAGGGCGGAUGCCUUGGCACUAGGAGCCGAUGAAGGACGUGAUAAGCUGCGAUAAGCUUCGGGGAGUUGCACGUAAACUUUGAUCCGAAGAUUUCCGAAUGAGGAAACUCACUUAGAGUAAUGUCUAAGUAUCAUUAAGUGAAUACAUAGCUUAAUGAGGGGAACUCAGGGAACUGAAACAUCUAAGUACCUGAAGGAAGAGAAAGAAAUUCGAUUCCGUAAGUAGCGGCGAGCGAACGCGGAUUAGCCCAAACCAAUAAAGUUUUCUUUAUUGGGGUUGAGGACAUACCACAUAUAAGAGGUCAUUAUAGACGAAGAAGUUUGGAAAAACUCAUCAUAGAAGGUAAUAAUCCUGUAGUCAAAAUAAUAAUUCUUUAGGUAUGAUCCAGAGUACCACGGGACACGUGAAACCCUGUGGGAAGCAGGAGGGACCACCCUCCAAGGCUAAAUACUACCUAGUGACCGAUAGCGUAUAGUACCGUGAGGGAAAGGUGAAAAGAACCCCGGGAGGGGAGUGAAAUAGAACCUGAAACCCUGCACUUACAAGCUGUGGAAGCACAUUUCUUGUGUGACCGCGUACUUUUUGUAGAACGGGCCAACGAGUUACGUUAAGUAGCAAGGUUAAGCACUUAAGGUGNGGAGCCGUAGCGAAAGCGAGUUUUAACUGAGCGUUCAGUUACUUGACGUAGACCCGAAACCGGGCGACCUACCCAUGAGCAGGAUGAAGCGAAAGUAAAAUUUCGUGGAGGUCCGAACCCACGAGCGUUGAAAAGCUCGGGGAUGACUUGUGGGUAGCGGUGAAAUUCCAAUCGAGCCCGGAGAUAGCUGGUUCUCCCCGAAAUAGCUUUAGGGCUAGCCUCAAGGUGAGAGAUACGGAGGUAGAGCACUGAAUGUCCUAGGGGGUAUUGCACCUACCGAAGACUAUCAAACUCCGAAUGCCGUCAUCUUAUACUUGGGAGUCAGACUGUGGGUGAUAAGAUUCAUAGUCGAAAGGGCAACAGCCCAGAUCGUCAGCUAAGGUCCCUAAAUGUAAGUUAAGUGGUAAAGGAUGUGGGAUUGCACAGACAACCAGGAUGUUGGCUUAGAAGCAGCCACUCAUUCAAAGAGUGCGUAAUAGCUCACUGGUCGAGUGAUCCUGCGCCGAAGAUUUCCGGGGCUAAAACUUACUACCGAAGCUACGGCAUCAGUAAUGAUGGGUAGGGGAGCUUCCCAUACGGGUUGAAGCAUGACCGUAAGGACAUGUGGACAGUAUGGGAGUGAGAAUGUUGGCAUGAGUAGCGAGAUGUGGGUGAGAAUCCCACAGGCCGUAAACCCAAGGUUUCCAGGGGAAGGUUCGUCCGCCCUGGGUUAGUCGGGACCUAAGCUGAGGCCGAAAGGCGUAGGUGAUGGACAACAGGUUGAUAUUCCUGUACUACCGAUAACCGUUUGAGAGAAGGGAUGACACAGUAGGAUAAGCUAAGCACACUGUUGGUUAUGUGUGCCCAAGCAUUGAGGCAGUCAAAGUAGGCAAAUCCGCUUUGAUAAUGCUGGGAUGUGAUGGGGAGCGAAAUUUAGUAGCGAAGUAGCUGAUUUCACACUGUCAAGAAAAGUCUCUAUCGAGGUUAAAGGUACCCGUACCGCAAACCGACACAGGUGGGUGAGGAGAGUAUCCUAAGGCCAGCGAGAGAACUGUUGUUAAGGAACUCGGCAAAAUGACCCCGUAACUUAGGGAUAAGGGGUGCCACCAUCAGGUGGCCGCAGAGAAUAGGCCCAAGCGACUGUUUACCAAAAACAUAGGUUUCUGCUAAGUCGCAAGACGAUGUAUAGGAGCUGACGCCUGCCCGGUGCUGGAAGGUUAAGGGGAUCUGUUAGAGCAAUCGAAGCAGUGAACUUAAGCCCCAGUAAACGGCGGCCGUAACUAUAACGGUCCUAAGGUAGCGAAAUUCCUUGUCGGGUAAGUUCCGACCCGCACGAAAGGCGUAACGAUUUGGGCACUGUCUCAACAACAGACUCGGUGAAAUUGUAAUUCCGGUGAAGAUGCCGGAUACCUGCGACAGGACGGAAAGACCCCAUGGAGCUUUACUGUAGCUUGACAUUGGGUCUUGGUACUACAUGUACAGGAUAGGUGGGAGGCUUUGAAACCAGGACGCCAGUUUUGGCGGAGCCAUCCUUGGGAUACCACCCUUGUAGUACUGGGACUCUAACCAUAGGCCAUGAAUCUGGUCUUGGGACACUGUCAGGUGGGCAGUUUGACUGGGGCGGUCGCCUCCCAAAAGGUAACGGAGGCGCUCAAAGGUUCUCUCAGUACGGUCGGAAAUCGUACGUAGAGUGUAAAGGCAAAAGAGAGCUUGAUUGCAAGACAUACAGGUCGAGCAAGGAUGAAAAUCGGACUUAGUGAUCCGGUGGUUCUGCGUGGAAGGGCCAUCGCUCAACGGAUAAAAGCUACCCUGGGGAUAACAGGCUUAUCUCCCCCAAGAGUCCACAUCGACGGGGAGGUUUGGCACCUCGAUGUCGGCUCAUCACAUCCUGGGGCUGUAGUAGGUCCCAAGGGUUGGGCUGUUCGCCCAUUAAAGUGGUACGCGAGCUGGGUUCAGAACGUCGUGAGACAGUUCGGUCCCUAUCCGUCGCAGGCGUAGGAAAUUUGAGAAGACCUGUCCUUAGUACGAGAGGACCGGGAUGGACGUACCUCUGGUGUACCAGUUGU